GACGAACGCUGGCGGCGUGCCUAAUACAUGCAAGUCGAGCGAAGUUUUUCUGGUGCUUGCACUAGAAAAACUUAGCGGCGAACGGGUGAGUAACACGUAAAGAACCUGCCUCAUAGACUGGGACAACUAUUGGAAACGAUAGCUAAUACCGGAUAACAGUAUUUCUCGCAUGAGAGAUAUUUAAAAGUUGGUUAUGCUAACACUAUGAGAUGUCUUUGCGGUGCAUUAGCUAGUUGGUGGGGUAAAGGCCCACCAAGGCGACGAUGCAUAGCCGACCUGAGAGGGUGAUCGGCCACACUGGGACUGAGACACGGCCCAGACUCCUACGGGAGGCAGCAGUAGGGAAUCUUCCGCAAUGGGCGAAAGCCUGACGGAGCAACGCCGCGUGAGUGAAGAAGGAUUUCGGUUCGUAAAGCUCUGUUGUUAGGGAAGAAUGGAUAUGUAGUAACUAUACAUGUAAGAGACGGUACCUAAACAGAAAGCCACGGCUAACUACGUG
rnacentral:rRNA from 1 species